rnacentral:rRNA from 1 species
CCUGACUGCUAUCGGAUUGAUACUAAGCCAUGCGAGUCAUUGUAGCAAUACAAGGCAUACGGCUCAGUAACGCGUAGUCAAUCUAACCUAUGGACGGGGAUAACCUCGGGAAACUGAGAAUAAUACCCGAUAGAACAUUAUGCCUGGAAUGGUUUAUGUUUCAAAUAAUUUAUUGCCGUAGGAUGGGACUGCGGCCUGUCAGUUUGUUGGUGAGGUAAUGGCCCACCAAGACUAUUACAGGUACGGGCUCUGAGAGGAGUAGCCCGGAGAUGGGUACUGAGACACGGACCCAGGCCCUAUGGGGCGCAGCAGGCGAGAAAACUUUGCAAUGUGCGAAAGCACGACAAGGUUAAUCCGAGUGGUUUCUGCUAAAGGAACCUUUUGUUAGUCAUAGAACCACUAAUGAAUAAGGGGUGGGCAAGUCCUGGUGUCAGCCGCCGCGGUAAAACCAGCACCUCAAGUGGUCAGGAUGAUUAUUGGGCCUAAAGCAUCCGUAGCCUGCUUUGUAAGUUUUCGGUUAAAUCCAUACGCUUAACGUAUGGGCUGCCGGGAAUACUGCACAGCUAGGGAGUGGGAGAGGUAGACGGUACUCGGUAGGAAGGGGUAAAAUCCUUUGAUCUAUCGAUGACCACCUGUGGCGAAGGCGGUCUACCAGAACACGUCCGACGGUGAGGGAUGAAAGCUGGGGGAGCAAACCGGAUUAGAUACCCGGGUAGUCCCAGCUGUAAACUAUGCAAACUCGGUGAUGCAUUGGCUUGAUGCCAAUGCAGUGCCGCAGGGAAGCCGUUAAGUUUGCCGCCUGGGAAGUACGUACGCAAGUAUGAAACUUAAAGGAAUUGGCGGGGGAGCACCACAAGGGGUGAAGCCUGC